GUGCACCAGGCGCGAAACCUCCGCAAUGCGGAAAACCGCGACGGGGGACCCCGAGUGCCGUGGCAACGCCACGGCUUUUCCGGAGUGUAAAAAGCUCCGGGAAUAAGGGCUGGGCAAGGCCGGUGGCAGCCGCCGCGGUAAUACCGGCGGCCCGAGUGGUGGCCGCUAUUAUUGGGCCUAAAGCGUCCGUAGCCGGGCCCGUAAGUCCCUGGCGAAAUCCCACGGCUCAACCGUGGGCUUGCUGGGGAUACUGCGGGUCUUGGGACCGGGAGAGGCGGGGGUACCCCUGGGGUAGGGGUGAAAUCCUAUAAUCCCAGGGGGACCGCCAGUGGCGAAGGCGCCCCGCUGGAACGGGUCCGACGGUGAGGGACGAAGGCCAGGGGAGCAAACCGGAUUAGAUACCCCCGUAGU
rnacentral:rRNA from 1 species